rnacentral:rRNA from 1 species
AUUGAACGCUGGCGGCAUGCUUUACACAUGCAAGUCGAACGGUAACAGGCCGCAAGGUGCUGACGAGUGGCGAACGGGUGAGUAAUGCAUCGGAACGUGCCCAGUCGUGGGGGAUAACGCAGCGAAAGCUGCGCUAAUACCGCAUACGAUCUAUGGAUGAAAGCGGGGGACCUUAAGGCCUCGCGCGAUUGGAGCGGCCGAUGUCAGAUUAGGUAGUUGGGGGGGUAAAGGCUCACCAAGCCGACGAUCUGUAGCUGGUCUGAGAGGACGACCAGCCACACUGGGACUGAGACACGGCCCAGACUCCUACGGGAGGCAGCAGUGGGGAAUUUUGGACAAUGGGCGCAAGCCUGAUCCAGCAAUGCCGCGUGCAGGAAGAAGGCCUUCGGGUUGUAAACUGCUUUUGUACGGAACGAAACGGUCCUGGUUAAUACCCGGGGCUAAUGACGGUACCGUAAGAAUAAGCACCGGCUAACUACGUGCCAGCAGCCGCCGCGGUAA